rnacentral:rRNA from 1 species
GACGAACCGUGCGAACGUUGUUCGGAUUCACUGGGCUUAAAGGGCGCGUAGGCGGCUCCUCAAGUCGGGGGCGAAAUCCUCUCGCUUAACGAGAGAAUUGCCUCCGAUACUGGGGAGCUGGAGGGGGAUAGGGGUGCGCGGAACUUCCGGUGGAGCGGUGAAAUGCGUAGAUAUCGGAAGGAACGCCGGUGGCGAAAGCGGCGCACUGGAUCCCCACUGACGCUGAGGCGCGAAAGCCAGGGGAGCAAACGGG